UGACUCUGUUCAACGGCCGCGGUAUCCUAACCGUGCGAAGGUAGCGUAAUCACUUGUUCUUUAAAUGAGGACUAGUAUGAAUGGCACCACGAAGGUUAUACUGUCUCCUUUUUCUAAUCAGUGAAACUAAUCUUCCCGUGAAGAAACGGGAAUAAAAAUAUAAGACGAGAAGACCCUAUGGAGCUUUAAACAAAUAUACACCUGCCUCUUUACCAAAAAUUUCAGAAGACAAGUAAUUACUCGGGCAUUUUGAUAUAGCGUUUUAGGUUGGGGUGACCACGGAGCAAAAAACAACCUCCGCAGCGAACGGGAAUAUUCCCUUAACCAAGGGCCACAACCCCAAGUAUUGAUAAAUCAACACUAAUUGACCCAAUAAAUUUGACCAAUGAACCAAGUUACCCUAGGGAUAACAGCGCAAUCCACUUCAAGAGCUCCUAUCGACAAGUGGGUUUACGACCUCGAUGUUGGAUCAGGGUAUCCCAGUGGUGCAGCCGCUACUAACGG
rnacentral:rRNA from 1 species